ACUAUGCUUAGCCCUAAACAUAGAUAGCAAUUACACAAUGCUAUCCGCCAGAGAACUACAAGUGAAAAGCUAGAAACUCCAAGGACUUGGCGGUGCUCCAUACCGUCCUAGAGGAGCCUGUCCUAUAAUCGAUAACCCACGCUUAACCUCACCACCCCUUGUAAUUCAGCUUAUAUACCGCCGUCGUCAGCCCACCUUGUGAAAGAAACAAAAGUGAGCAAAAUAGUUAACAACUAAGACGCCAGGUCAAGGUGUAGCCCAUGGGGUGGAAGAGAUGGGCUACACUUUCUAUAACAGAAUACACGAAUAGCACAGUGAAACCUGUACUUGAAGGCGGAUUUAGUAGUAAGAUAAAUAAGAAAGUUUACCUGAAACCCGCUCUGGAGCGCGCACACACCGCCCGUCACCCUC
rnacentral:rRNA from 1 species